AGUAAAGUGUAUCCCAGCUGUGCGGGCGUGGCGUCGUCCGCGGAUAGCGCUGUUCCGGGAUGACGAGGUGGCCCCUGUGGCCGCCCCAGGGUCUGCGGACUAGGCCUGGGUCCCUCACGGUCACAGGAGAUCCUUAGCCGCACACACGCCGGCCCUGAUCUUCUCCAGGCUUCACCGCUUCAAUAGAGGUUCAUGGGCUUUCUGUAGAUGGGGAAACUGAGGCACAGAGAGUAUUUUAAUGGAUCUCUGAAGACGGUCCGAAAGAUCGUUUAGGAGUGCCUGGGGCCACUCACAUUCCAGCCCCUUCCCGCAGCCCCUGUAGAUCUUAAGACUGGGGAAGCCUUUCGGGGACACUGGGUGGACAGGAGGGCCAGAACGGGAGAGCCACUGUGGAUGGCUGCUGGCUUAAGAGCCAGUUCCAGCGCGGAACUUACCACGAAACGUGAGACUGGGGGGACACCUUUGCCUGAAUCAAGCAGGUGGCCCUGUCCUUCCGAGCCGUGCCUAGUUUCCCUGAGUUUGUUUUUGUGCAGCAACCCUACGGAGAGUCUUAAGCAGGAAGUGGUGACUGAUUUGUGAUCUCUGAAAAAAAAAAAGGAAAAAAAUCACUGGCAUCCUUGCGGUAGGAAAUGAAACCAGAAGCGGGGAACUUUCAUUUUUAAUGGUGUCAUUUUGAUCUUCGACCACAAGCCAACGAGCAAGCAGGACAGGCAGUGAAAGGUGAACACAGAACCACCAACCACUACAUACCUGGGAGCUGUAAUUUACUCAGGUAUAAUAAAACGCUUUGAGUUGUC
rnacentral:lncRNA from 1 species